rnacentral:rRNA from 1 species
UACGUAGGGUGCGAGCGUUGUCCGGAAUUAUUGGGCGUAAAGCGUGCGCAGGCGGCACCGCAAGUCGAGUGUGAAAGCCCCGGGCUUAACUUGGGAAUUGCGCUCGAAACUAUGGUGCUGGAGUGUGGCAGAGGAAGGUGGAAUUCCAGGUGUAGCGGUGAAAUGCGUAGAGAUCUGGAGGAACACCGAUGGCGAAGGCAGCCUUCUGGGCCAACACUGACGCUCAUGCACGAAAGCGUGGGGAGCAAACAGG